AUGCGGGGACAUCCUGUACUGUUAAAUAGAGCACCUACCCUGCAUAGAUUAGGCAUACAGGCCUUUCAACCCACUUUAGUAGAGGGGCGUACUAUUUCUUUACACCCAUUAGUGUGUAAGGGUUUCAAUGUAGACUUUGAUGGAGAUCAAAUGGCUGUUCAUCUACCUUUAUCCUUGGAAGCUCAGGCAGAAGCCUGUUUACUUAUGUUUUCUCAUAUGAAUCUCUUAUCUCCCGCUAUUGGGGAUCCUAUUUGCGUACCAACCCAAGACAUGCUUAUCGGGCUUUAUGUAUUAACGAUUGGAAAGCAUCGAGGUAUUUGCGCAAAUAGAUAUAAUAGUUGCAAAAACUACCCAAAUCUAAAAGUAAAUUACAAUAAUAAUAAUAAUUCUAAAUAUAGGAAAGAUAAAGAACCCCAUUUUUGUAGUUCUUAUGAUGCACUGGGAGCUUAUAGACAAAAACUAAUCAGUUUAGAUAGUCCCUUGUGGCUACAAUGGAACCUGGAUCAACGCGUCAUUGGGUCAAGAGAAGUUCCGAUUGAAGUUCAAUAUGAAUCUUUGGGGACUUAUCAUGAGAUUUAUGCCCACUAUCUAAUAAUGGGAAAUAGAAAAAAAGAAAUUCGUUCGAUAUACAUUCGAACCACUCUUGGUCAUAUUUCUUUUUAUAGAGAAAUAGAGGAAGCCGUACAAGGAUUUAGUCAGGCCUAUUCAUACACUACCUAA
rnacentral:rRNA from 1 species